UACGUAUGGAGCAAGCGUUAUCCGGAUUUACUGGGUGUAAAGGGUGCGUAGGUGGCAGUGCAAGUCAGAUGUGAAAGGCCGGGGCUCAACCCCGGAGCUACAUUUGAAACUGCGCGGCUAGAGUACAGGAGAGGCAGGCGGAAUUCCUAGUGUAGCGGUGAAAUGCGUAGAUAUUAGGAGGAACACCAGUGGCGAAGGCGGCCUGCUGGACUGUUACUGACACUGAGGCACGAAAGCGUGGGGAGCAAACAGG
rnacentral:rRNA from 1 species